AUGGGGCUGUUGUGCCUGUUUGAGCAAUUGACCGGUCUGAAGAUUAACUUCCAUAAAAGUGAGUUGUUCUGUUUUGGUAGAGCCAAAGAGGAACAAGAUGCAUAUAAGCAAUUGUUUGGGUGUGAAUUGGGUGCACUCCCGUUCAAUUACCUAGAUAUCCCCAUUCACCAUCGUAAGCUGACUAACAGUGAAUGGAAGUGUAUCGAGGAUCGGUUUGAGAAGAAACUGAGUUGCUGGAAGGCCAAACUCAUAUCGUAUGGAGGCCGGUUGAUUCUUAUUAAUUCGGUGCUCACGAGUUUUCCUAUGUUCCUUCUGUCCUUUUUUGAAGUACCAGUUGGAGUUAGGAAAAGGCUGGACUUCUAUCGGUCCCGUUUCUUCUGGCAAAGUGAUGAACUUAAGAGAAAGUACCGUUUAGCCAAAUGGGACGUCAUCUGCCGACCGAAGGACCAAGGGGGUUUUGGUAUUGAAAAUCUUGAGGUCAAGAACAAAUGUCUUCUCAGUAAGUGGCUAUAUAAGUUAGCUGCUGAGACUGAAGCUACUUGGGCACAGAUUCUGCAUAACAAGUACCUCCACUCUAAGACUUUGUCGCAGGUGACAGUCAGACCGACUGAUUCACCAUUCUGGAAAGGGCUAAUGAGAGUCAAAGCUACUUUCUUUAAUAGAACAAAGUUUAUUAUUGGUGAUGGCAACAAUACUCGCUUCUGGGAGGAUACUUGGCUGGGGGAUGCGCCGUUGGCGCUUCAGUAUCCUUCG
rnacentral:rRNA from 1 species